GCGGACGUGGCGGAACUGGCAUACGCACUACCUUGAGGUGGUAGCGGGAGCAAUCCCAUGAGGGUUCAACUCCCUCCGUCCGCA
rnacentral:tRNA from 1 species